CACGGGGCCGCCUCCAGGCUGGGGCGACGAGUAAAUAGACCGGGGGGAUGCAAAGGGCUCGGCCAAAGAGCAAAGUACGGAAUGUACACUGCGGUUAGGACUCUGGCUUGGACUCAGACACACGCGGUGCGUUAGGCUAUAGGACUAUCUAUCCAUAGCCAACGCCACUCCCUGGAGUGAACUGUAACUUGGCCAAAGUACACAAAGUGCCCCUUUGGUUCCAAGGGUGACUUUCCAAGCUCCUUAGCAAGUCCCCGACUCUUCUGCCUCCCCCCGAGAUGACGAGAUGACGAAGCAUUGGUGAAGAGGGGCGCUGGGGAGCCCGUACCCUGCGUGACUAGAGUAAGUGCAGCUCCCAAGCGGUUCUGUGAUGGGUUCCUAUCACCGGCUCUCAAGAAUUUAGGGAUUUGAAAGAUUGGGGGAUAUUUACUGUAGCAAAACCCAGCCUGGCCUCACUGACACGCCUGAAUACUGUUUCUUUAAGCCGUUUAAUAGCAAAACCAAAGAAAGGAAAACAACACACCAAGGAAACGCAUACACGGUAACACCGAAGGCAGCGGUCUCCGGGAGGUCUCAGGAUGGCCCCACACAUACACAGUAACACAGGAGGCAGCGGUCUCGGGGAGGUCUCAGGAUGGCCCCACGCGUACACAGUAACACAGAAGGCAGCGGUCUGCAGUCUCCGGGAGGUCUCAGGGACGGCCCCGCGCGUACACAGUAACACUGAAGGCAGCGGUCUCGCGGGGGUCUCA